rnacentral:rRNA from 1 species
UGGGGAAUAUUGCGCAAUGGGGGGAACCCUGACGCAGCCAUGCCGCGUGAAUGAAGAAGGCCUUCGGGUUGUAAAGUUCUUUCGGUAUUGAGGAAGGUUGAUGUGUUAAUAGCACAUCAAAUUGACGUUAAAUACAGAAGAAGCACCGGCUAACUCCGUGCCAGCAGCCGCGGUAAUACGGAGGGUGCGAGCGUUAAUCGGAAUAACUGGGCGUAAAGGGCACGCAGGCGGUUAUUUAAGUGAGGUGUGAAAGCCCUGGGCUUAACCUAGGAAUUGCAUUUCAGACUGGGUAACUAGAGUACUUUAGGGAGGGGUAGAAUUCCACGUGUAGCGGUGAAAUGCGUAGAGAUGUGGAGGAAUACCGAAGGCGAAGGCAGCCCCUUGGGAAUGUACUGACGCUCAUGUGCGAAAGCGUGGGGAGCAAACAGGAUUAGAUACCCUGGUAGUCCACGCUGUAAACGCUGUCGAUUUGGGGGUUGGGGUUUAACUCUGGCGCCCGUAGCUAACGUGAUAAAUCGACCACCUGGGGAGUACGGCCGCAAGGUUA